GAUGAAGAACGUAGCGAAAUGCGAUAAGUAAUGUGAAUUGCAGAAUUCAGUGAAUCAUCGAAUCUUUGAACGCACAUUGCGCCCCCCAGUAUUCUGGCGGGCAUGCCUGUUCGAGCGUCAUUUCAACCAUCAAGCCCUGCUUGUGUUGGGGUCCUGCGGCUGCCCGCAGGCCCUGAAAACCAGUGGCGGGCUCGCUAGUCACACCGAGCGCAGUAGCACAUCUCGCUCAGGGCGUGCGGCGGGCUCCAGCCGUUAAAGCACCCACCUUUCGCAAGGUUGACCUCGGAUCAGGUAGGUAUACCCGCUGAACUUAAGCAUAUCAAUAAGCGGAGGA
rnacentral:misc_RNA from 1 species